GAAGCGCGGAUUCCCGUUGACGUCACGGAUGGGGCGUGUCGUAUGUAGAUAUCUGAGCGCAGGGGCUGCCGGUACGUCUUCUGGUCUCCCGUGGCGUGGAGAGGACUUUUGCUUUGAAGUGCGUGUAUCCGCUGUGUGGAAAGUCCAGGAAGGCUCGGGGAUGCGGGGAGUGAAGUGAGCAUGUCUAUACAGUGUAGGGCGUAUGAGGUUGAGGUGGGGCAGGCAAGCAGCGAUGUUAUGUAUUUGGGAACAACUAUGAUUGUAAAGGUGGUGAUUUCAUACCGGUAUUAGUCGAAUGUACUCUCGAUUUGUUGAUGUCUAUUCGGUUUUCUCAAAUGGGGAACUGAGUUACUGGGUGAAUAUGCGUCACGGUUUCCUUUGGUUUUUCAUGCAUGCAAAAACAGACUUCAUUGAUGGAUGUUAGCUUUAUGUUUUAUUUUUAUGCAAUAAGGUGAUUUAUCAGUUAUCACACAGGUGUGCAGCAGAAGUUUUAUGCUACUGAGAAUGCUUUGUGUAUGUAAGCUCCUGAGGUUGCAACUGUAAUCAGACUUGCAGAAGAACCAAGAGUCGUUAUGUGACCAGUUUUUUCAUCUGAUGAUGAGAGACUGCAAUUGCUUCGUCUUGGCCUAAAUGGAUUUAGUGGUGUCUGAUUUUUUGCAACCCUAUGAACCAUAGCCUGCGAGGCUGGUUUGUCCAUGAGAUUUCUCAAGCAGGAAUACUGGAGUGGGUUGUCAUUUCUUGCUUCAGAGAAUUUUUCUCACCCAGGGGUCAAGCUCGGAUCUCUUUAAGUCUUCUGCACUGAAAAUGAAUGACCUGGAAGUGAAAGAAGAGAAGAGCUAUGAAAGAGCGUAUCUUGUGGACCCAAGUGGGCUUCAGAUCAAAUUCCUCCUUUCAGAUGCUACGCACUGACUGAGCAAUUGAACAAGUUCGAUAAGCUUUCCAUGUCUCAGUUUUCUCAUACAUGAAAUGAGGAUGGUGAUAUGAUAGAAGCCUGUUGAAAGGAUUAAAUAAGUGCACCCAUGUAAAACUUGUAGACCAUGCCUGGGCACAUGGCACUUUGCAUGUCAUCAUUGAGUUUUCCCACCCCAGAUGCUGCAGACCGGCCUGAACAGGGGAAAGUGGAGUGUGUGUGGUUCCCUGCCUGCCAGUCAGUCAUCUCCAAGGCAGCCGCCAGGACUUCCACUCACCUGCAGACCCACACAGCCCACCUCACCACUCCACAUGGAACCGCAAAGGGAACUUUGCCAGAACAAAUGCCACUCCAGCAGCUUUGCGAUUUGGGGUGAAUCGGGUCGGGGACACUUCAGUAAAGGGUGGGAGCUGCUCCAGAGUGAGGCGCUGUGGUCACCCCAACCCAGCGACCACCCACUCCUCUCCCUUCCAAUCCCUUUCUCCCUUCUGGCUCAUCCUGUGUUCCCUCCUGAUGUUUGCCUUCCUCGGAUCUUUUCGCCAGCCUCACACCUUUGUUUCUUGUCCUACAAUGACAGCUGCGUCAUUGAGUCCUUUGUAACCACUGAAAGUUCCAAAUUGUAAGUAUCAGAGUGAUGCCUCUUAGCACCGCGAAGGGAAAACUUGAGCUGUUCCAGUCCAUCACGGGCCUCAUUAGUGUUUUUCUCCCAAGCAGUAGAGGACACAAGUGUUUCCAUUCGCUCACGUUGUGAGAAAUCAUCUCCGUGGAGCAGAGUGGCGGCAGAACAAAGGGAACCCGGCCCCCGGCUCCAGACUCCCAACAGCCUCAUCUCCCCUUCGGCCACGGAGCAGCCUGGCCGGGUGGCCCUGGGUCAGGGAGCUGGGUCUCCUCAGACGCCGGAAUAUGCUACCCAAGCUCCUCUUUCGGUCUGAGCUUGGGACCAAAGCACAGGAUUCCAUGAGUGAAGGUUCGAAUCUUGACUGAACAGCAGCUUUGCAUGGCCAACGGAGACUUAAGAGUGAGAAACUCUGAAUAAAAUCAUAAUAAACUGGGACACGGCCAAUAAAAAGUCGGAAAAAUAGAGAACUUGAAUAAAACGCAGUUCUUCCCA